rnacentral:rRNA from 1 species
AUUGAACGCUGGCGGCAGGCCUAACACAUGCAAGUCGAACGAGUGGCGGACGGGUGAGUAAUGUCUGGGAAACUGCCCGAUGGAGGGGGAUAACGACUGGAAACGGUCGCUAAUACCGCAUACCAUCGGAUGUGCCCAGAUGGGCUUAGCUAGUAGGUGGGGUAAUGGCUCACCUCGGCGACGAUCCCUAGCUGGGCUGAGAGGAUGACCGGCCACACUGGAACUGAGACACGGUCCAGACUCCUACGGGAGGCAGCAGUGGGGAAUAUUGCACAAUGGGCGCAAGCCGGAUGCAGCCAUGCCGCGUGUGUGAAGAAGGCCUUCGGGUUGUAAAGCACUUUCAGCGGGGAGGCGUUACCCGCAGAAGAAGCACCGGCUAACUCCGUGCCAGCAGCCGCGGUAAUAC